rnacentral:tRNA from 1 species
AAAUAAGAAGCAAUUAAUAAUGCAUUUAAUUUCGACUUAAAAGAAAGAGUUUAAAUAACUCCUUAUUUA